CCAAUAGCGUAUAUUAAAGUUGUUGCAGUUAAAAAGCUCGUAGUUGAAUUUCGGGGUUCAUACGUUGGUCGGGCUUUUGGGUCUGUACUGGCGUAAUGGAUUCCUACCUUCUGAAUAACCGGCAUGCCAUUAAUUUGGUGCGCCGGGGAAGCAGGACUGUUACCUUGAAAAAAUUAGAGUGCUUAAAGCAGGCUAUCGCCUGACUCCAUUAGCAUGGAAUAAUGAAAUAGGACGGCAUGGUUCUAUUUUGUUGGUUUCUAGGAUCACCGUAAUGAUUAAUAGGGAUAGUUGGGGGCAUUAGUAUUCAAUUGUCAGAGGUGAAAUUCUUGGAUUUAUUGAAGACUAACUUCUGCGAAAGCAUUUGCCAAGGAUGUUUUCAUUAAUCAAGAACGAAAGUUAGGGGAUCGAAGACGAUCAGAUACCGUCGUAGUCUUAACCAUAAACUAUGCCGACUAGGGAUCGGACGAUGUUAAUUUUUAAUGACUCGUUCGGUGCCUUACG
rnacentral:rRNA from 1 species